ACUUCGGUCCCGAGUAGAGUGGCGCACGGGUGAGUAACGCGUAAGUGAUCUACCCCUGUAUCUGGGAUAACUGUGGGAAACUGCAGCUAAUACCGGAUACGUUCAUGUAGUUGCGAUUAUGUGAAGAAAGAUGGCCUCUGAUUCAAGCUAUUGUACAGGGAGGAGCUUGCGUACCAUUAGCUAGUUGGUAGGGUAAUGGCCUACCAAGGCAACGAUGGUUAGCGGGUCUGAGAGGAUGAUCCGCCACACUGGAACUGAAACACGGACCAGACUCCUACGGGAGGCAGCAGUGAGGAAUAUUGCGCAAUGGGGGCAACCCUGACGCAGCGACGCCGCGUGGAUGAUGAAGGCCUUCGGGUCGUAAAAUCCUGUCAGAUGGGAAGAAGUGUGUGAUGGUUAAUACCCAUUGCAUUUGACGGUACCAUCAGAGGAAGCACCGGCUAACUCCGUGCCAGCAGCCGCGGUAAUACGGAGGGUGCAAGCGUUGUUCGGAAUUACUGGGCGUAAAGCGCGCGUAGGCGGUUUGUUAAGUCAGAUGUGAAAGCCCAGGGCUCAACCCUGGACGUGCAUUUGAAACUGGCAGACUUGAGUAUUGGAGGGGGUGGUGGAAUUCCCGGUGUAGAGGUGAAAUUCGUAGAUAUCGGGAGGAAUACCGGUGGCGAAGGCGACCACCUGGCCAAAUACUGACGCUGAGGUGCGAAAGCGUGGGGAGCAAACAGGAUUAGAUACCCUGGUAGUCCACGCCGUANACGAUGAGAACUAGGUGUUGGGACGGUUGAUCGUCUCANUGCCGCAGCUAACGCAUUAAGUUCUCC
rnacentral:rRNA from 1 species